rnacentral:rRNA from 1 species
GGGGAAUAUUGCACAAUGGGGGAAACCCUGAUGCAGCGACGCCGCGUGAGUGAAGAAGUAUUUCGGUAUGUAAAGCUCUAUCAGCAGGGAAGAUAAUGACAGUACCUGACUAAGAAGCCCCGGCUAACUACGUGCCAGCAGCCGCGGUAAUACGUAGGGGGCAAGCGUUAUCCGGAUUUACUGGGUGUAAAGGGAGCGUAGACGGAGUGGCAAGUCUGAAGUGAAAACCCUGGGCUUAACCUAGGGACUGCUUUGGAAACUGUUAAUCUAGAGUGUUGGAGAGGUAAGUGGAAUUCCUGGUGUAGCGGUGAAAUGCGUAGAUAUCAGGAAGAACACCGGAGGCGAAGGCGGCUUACUGGACAAUAACUGACGUUGAGGCUCGAAAGCGUGGGGAUCAAACAGGAUUAGAUACCCUGGUAGUCCACGCUGUAAACGAUGAAUACUAGGUGUCGGGGAGCAAAGCUUCUCGGUGCCGUCGCAAACGCAAUAAGUAUUCCACCUGGGGAGUACGUUCGCAAGAAUG